UGAGUUUUCAAUCUCUUGUUUGGCUUCUCGUGACAAGGGGAUGGAAUGCACUGUACUUAACGACAGUGUUUUGGGGUUUAAUUUCAAUUUAUUUACAAGUUUGCCAUUCCUUUAAAAACCAAUUUAUCUGUCCACCGGAGCUUUUCUGCGUCGGUGGAUGCUCCGCUUCGACUACUCCUUCUGCUUCUUCACCGCUUCUUCCCCUUUCCCUCCUCGUCUCGUCUGCUAAACGACGACUUUUUCGACGACAUUCUCUCGCACCUACCCGGCUUAUCCUUCGCAUCAGCGGCGUGCGUUAGCAAAUCUUGGAACCAAAUCUGCAGCCGAAUCCUCGCUAGCCCGAAGCUCGCCUCUGCUCUCUCUCUCCACCCCUCGCCUAAGGUUGCGGUGAAGGAGGUUAUCGAGAAGGUUCUGGCUGGGCGGAUACGGCCUCAUUUCGUUGUGGCUGAUAUUGGAAGUGUGUUUGGAUUGUAUGGCAUUUCCAAGUUUUAGUUUGAGGGCUCCGACCGCAACACACAGCAGCAGCGAUGGGAUAGGAGAAGUGGCACCAAGUGAUGCAGAACCUUUUCCGUGAUCAAUCUGAAGAAGAAGAGGGAGAGGUUGAUUCCAAGCACAAGUCUAAUCCCCAGCUCGAUUCUGUGAUCCUGCUACCCUGGAUGUUGGAGUACGGGACUGUUGUGCUACUGCACGCUCUACUAUCAGCGGAGAACUCUACAGGGUUGAUCAAAGAGGGGUAUAUAAUCUUACUAAAGCAUUUCAGAGGUUGUAGUAAUUUUCCUUUGACUGGUCUGUUGAUAAGUUUGUUUUUGUAGAUACAGAGAACUACGUGGAAGAUCUCUGUGUGAAUAUCAGGGUCCGUACAUUUCCCUUUUUAGUUCUUGGCAAUACAAGCAUCAUCAGGUUUUUGAAGAAAACUUGAGAAAUCAAUAGAUUUUGUUUGCAGCUUAAGAAAACUUAAGAGACUGGUUCAAUUGGGUAACGAAAAAAGGGAAGAAGAGAAAAAUAUUUGUAAACACACUGUACGUUUGAAGAAUUUGUUUAUACUUAUGGAGACCAUUUGAUUGCUAAGGAAAUCGAGGAAAAGAAAACACAGAAACUAAUUAAGAGUUGUUUGAGUUGUUUAUAAGAGAGAGGACUUUUAAAAAACAAGUAAUAUUUUUGUUUAUGUAAUGGUUGUCAUGAAUUUCCUUUUCACUAAACAAAACAUAAUCAGUUUAUUUGCUUUACUGAGAAUGUAGCGUUUAUUGUGAUUAAUUUUGGGUUUUGGAGCAGAUAUUUGUGUCCUGAGCCGUAUCUAGAGUAGAUUUUGGAGUUCCUACGGUGUUAGAAUAUUCUGUUACUCCAAUGCAUUGACAUAUAUU